CCCUCUCCCUCCCCUCUCCUCUCUAGGUAUCGUCUGUUCAAGCAGCAGUUAGACAUGAAGACAGAAGAGUUAGAUAUUCUCCAGGUUAAACUCCAUCAGAGCUCCUUCCAUAAACAACAGGAAGAACUGAAGAUGUUACUGAAGACCAUCGAGGAGUGUGAGGAGACCCUGCGCAGCAGUAAGGAGGUCCAGAAGAAGGCAGAUGAGAAGACAAGGUGUUGGAGGAUAAGAUGAAGAAUGCGGAGGCAGAGAGGGGAGAAGAACUGA